rnacentral:miRNA from 1 species
GUCCCAGAGGGUUGUGGGACUAGGGCUGUGCUUCCUGCCUAACCUGCUCCUCUCCCUCCAG